GACGAACGCUGGCGGCGUGCUUAACACAUGCAAGUCGAACGGAAAGGCCCUGCUUUUGUGGGGUGCUCGAGUGGCGAACGGGUGAGUAACACGUGAGUAACCUGCCCUUGACUUUGGGAUAACUUCAGGAAACUGGGGCUAAUACCGGAUAGGAGCUCCUGCUGCAUGGUGGGGGUUGGAAAGUUUCGGCGGUUGGGGAUGGACUCGCGGCUUAUCAGCUUGUUGGUGGGGUAGUGGCUUACCAAGGCUUUGACGGGUAGCCGGCCUGAGAGGGUGACCGGCCACAUUGGGACUGAGAUACGGCCCAGACUCCUACGGGAGGCAGCGGUGGGGAAUAUUGCAAAAUGGGCGGAAGCCUGAUGCAGCAACGCCGCGUGCGGGAUGACGGCCUUCGGGUUGUAAACCGCUUUCGCCUGUGACGAAGCGUGAGUGACGGUAAUGGGUAAAGAAGCACCGGCUAACUACGU
rnacentral:rRNA from 1 species